ACCGGUUCAUAAGAGCCUUUUGUUAGCGAAUCGCACAUCACGGAUCGCGCUGCGUUGCUGUUGCUUGCGUGCAACUUUGUCGCGCGGAUUUUCUGUCGAAAGCUUUAUGCUUUCUCGAUUUUAAAUGAUCGUUGCGAACUUUUCCUUUGAACACCUAGUUGUUGCUUUCAAGCUUGCGUAUGACAACAAUUCUGACUGAAUGACAACAGGCUCGUCUGACUCAUCUAUUCGGAGACAAGAAAAAGAAGGCCUGGAUCAACGUGGGGCAGCUAGCUCAGUUGAUCUUUAAGACAGUUACUAUGAAUAUAACAGCUACUGCGGCGAAGAGAGGCAAGAAGACCAGAAAAUCCGGUUUGCAAAAGUGUGGAGUCCCUCCCAAUGCAUCUUU